GACGAACGCUGGCGGCGUGCUUAACACAUGCAAGUCGAACGAUGAACCCGGAGCUUGCUCCGGCGGAUUAGUGGCGAACGGGUGAGUAACACGUGGGUGAUCUGCCCUGCACUUCGGGAUAAGCCUGGGAAACUGGGUCUAAUACCGGAUAGGACCACUGCCUGCAUGGGUGGUGGUGGAAAGCUUUUGCGGUGUGGGAUGGGCCCGCGGCCUAUCAGCUUGUUGGUGGGGUGAUGGCCUACCAAGGCGACGACGGGUAGCCGGCCUGAGAGGGUGACCGGCCACACUGGGACUGAGAUACGGCCCAGACUCCUACGGGAGGCAGCAGUGGGGAAUAUUGCACAAUGGGCGCAAGCCUGAUGCAGCGACGCCGCGUGAGGGAUGACGGCCUUCGGGUUGUAAACCUCUUUCAGCACCGACGAAGCGCAAGUGACGGUAGGUGCAGAAGAAGGACCGGCCAACUACAUGCCAGCCGCCGCCGUAA
rnacentral:rRNA from 1 species